CGGGAAACCUCGAUGAACAAACACCGGGAGAGUGCAUUCCCAGGGGAGUUCCAGGAGGCCCAUGGCCCCUCCUGUACAGCCCUCCACCGCCCAGAGCCUUCCAGCGCCGUGUCUUCCCCUUGGAGCAUCUGGAGGCCCCAGACAGCACCCGCCUGACGUUCAGCAGAGGGGGAGACCGAGGCCUGCAGCAGAGUGUUUUGUCAGAUGCUGCUCCCUGACCGGGAGUGAGAGGGAACCCACCUAGAGGUGCCAGAUGGGGUGCCAGGGCAGCGUGGCCUGCAGGCCCCUCAGCUCCUCACAGCCCCUGCCCCCAGCCUUCCUGGGCCCAGAGAUCCCCUUGUUUACCCUAGUCCAGGGACAGAGGCUCAGAUGUCAUGCUUGACCCCACAGGUACAGGGUUAGGGGUGAAGGUGGCUGUCUCUUCAUGUCUUCACCAUGGCUUCUCUGCCUUCCUCCUGCUCCUGGUGGCUUAUGUCCUGCCGCUCUUGAUACGCGACUGUGGUCUGUCCUGGGAUGGUUAUGAUGCAUAUGUGCUAUUGUUG
rnacentral:lncRNA from 1 species